rnacentral:rRNA from 1 species
UUAAGAAUGUUAAAUUUAAANUGAGUUAGUAUUAGUUAUAAUNUUUAAAGCUUAAAAAUUUGGCGGUAUUUUAGUCUUUUCAAAGGAACCUGUUCUGUAAUCGAUAGUCCACGAUUAAUUGAGCUUAUUUUAUUAAUUUGUAUAUCGUUGUAGUUGAGUAUUUCAUUAGGAUAAAAAUAUUCAAAAUUAAUUAUAGUUGAAAAUAUCAAAUCAAGGUACAGUUUAUGAAUAAGAAUGAAAUGGGUUACAAUAAAUUAUAUUUAUUAUGGAUUUAUGAUUGAAAAUUGUAAUGAAGGUGGAUUU